GAAACUACAGGCUAUAAUUCUGUGUAGCUGCUGGGAUUGUUUUUCUUGAGUGGGAAUUUGUUUGUCUGAUUGACAGGUGUUUGACUUCUCCUGUCGGAUGAAGACCUGAAGCAGAUCGAGUCGUUCAACAGAAACGAGAGGUACAUCAUCCCGGCUGUGGAGAGGGACAGAGAGUGGAGGGAUGCAGACCACCCUCAUUUCCCGACCUGAUCUACAGACAGAUCCACUGGCCACAUCUAGAGUCAGAUUUACUGGCCCCACAUCGAGAGUCAGCUCUACUGGCCCCACAUCUAGAGUCAGCUCUACUGGCCCCACAUCUAGAGUCAGCUCUACUGGCC
rnacentral:lncRNA from 1 species